CACGCUGUAAACGAUGAGAACUAGCCGUUGGGCACGAUUGAGUGUUUGGUGGCGCAGCUAACGCGAUAAGUUCUCCGCCUGGGGAGUACGGCCGCAAGGUUAAAACUCAAAUGAAUUGACGGGGGCCCGCACAAGCGGUGGAGCAUGUGGUUUAAUUCGAUGCAACGCGAAGAACCUUACCUGGUCUUGACAUCUGGGGAACCCUUGAGAGAUUGAGGGGUGCCUUCGGGAGCCCCAAGACAGGUGC
rnacentral:rRNA from 1 species